rnacentral:rRNA from 1 species
GGCGCCCUAAGGUUCCUUCAGCGCGGUUGGAAAUCGCGCGUAGAGUGUAAAGGCAGAAGGGAGCUUGACUGCAAGACAUACAAGUCGAGCAGGUGCGAAAGCAGGGCUUAGUGAUCUUACGGUUCUGUAUGGAAAGGCCGUGACUCAACGGAUAAAAGGUACUCCGGGGAUAACAGGCUAAUCGCUCCCAAGCGCUCAUAGCGACGGAGCGGUUUGGCACCUCGAUGUCGGCUCAUCACAUCCUGGGGCCGUAGCAGGUCCCAAGGGUUCGGCUGUUCGCCGAUUAAAGUGGUACGUGAGCUGGGUUUAGAACGUCGCAAGACAGUUCGGUCCCUAUCUGUUGUGGGCGUAGGAUAUUUGAGAGGAGCUGUCCCUAGUAUGAGAAGACCGGGAUGGACGAGUCUAUAGUGUGCCAGUUGUCACGCCAGUGGCAUUGCUGGGUAGCUACGCUCGGAAGGGAUAAACGCUGAAAGCAUCUAAGUGUGAAGCCCACCUCAAGAUUAGAUAUCCCACAGAGUCAAUCUGGUAAGGCCCCUUUGAGAUUAAAAGGUUGAUAGGCCAGAGGUGUAAGCAGUGUGAACUGUUGAGCUUACUGGUACUAAUUGGCCGAGGGCUUGACAAUAUCU